rnacentral:rRNA from 1 species
UAAUACUCCAUAGAUUAGAGACACUGGAAUGUUCUUUAGUCGAAAGUUCUGGCGCCUUAGGAUGGAUCUGCGGUCGAUUAGGUUGUUGUUGGGGUAACGGCCCAACAAGCCUGUAAUCGAUACGGGUUGUGGGAGCAAGAGCCCGGAGAUGGAAUCUGAGACACGAUUCCAGGCCCUACGGGGCGCAGCAGGCGCGAAAACUUUACAAUGCAGGAAACUGUGAUAAGGGAACUCCGAGUGCCCGUAUACGCGGGCUGUCCAGGUGUUUAAAAAUCAUCUGAAGAAAGGGCCGGGCAAGACCGGUGCCAGCCGCCGCGGUAAUACCGGCGGCUCGAGUGGUGGCCACUAUUAUUGGGCUUAAAGCGUCCGUAGCUGGACCGAUAAGUCUCUUGGGAAAUCCGCCGGCUCAACCGGCGGGCGUCUAAGGGAUACUGUUAGUCUAGGGACCGGGAGAGGUGAGAGGCACUCCGGGGGUAGGAGUGAAAUCCUGUAAUCCCGGUGGGACCACCUAUGGCGAAGGCAUCUCACCAGAACGGGUCCGACAGUGAGGGACGAAAGCUGGGGGAGCAAACCGGAUUAGAUACCCGGGUAGUCCCAGCUGUAACUAUGUGCGUUAGGUGUGU